rnacentral:tRNA from 1 species
GGGGGCGUAGCUCAACGGUUAGAGCAGGGUGCUCAUAACGCUUUGGUAGUCGGUUCAACUCCAACCGCCCCCACCA